UUCUGAUUCUAGGAGCCUGUCUGCUA
rnacentral:piRNA from 1 species